rnacentral:antisense_RNA from 1 species
GAUUCUUCCCAAUUCUACCGCCACCAUUCUGGUUCAAGCUACCUGUAGAGACGGGGUUUCACCAUGUUAGCCAGGAUGGUCUCGAUCUUCUGACCUCGUGAUCCAUCUGCCUCAGCCUUCCAAAGUUCUGGGAUUACAGACGUGAGCCACCACGCCCGGCCAAAAGAUCCAUAAACUUUGAGUCACCAGAUGGAGCUAACAUUUACCACAGAGGCAUGUAAAGAAAACGAUUCUAGCAGAGUAACUAUAAUACAAAAGAACAAUAUUCCAAUUAUGUCCCUAUGUUCUAUCCAGGAAGGUUUAAGAGGAGCCUUUUAAACUGAACUAUAUUCUAAGAGGUGGGAAAAAGUUUUCUUUUGUUUUUCUUAUUAACCGUACCUUGAAAGCCCCAAAUAAAUGUUCCUUGGUUUAGAUGCCCUGGUAGAUGACCAAAAAAGUUGGACCAGUUAUCAAAAUCUACAAAGACUAUAUGAGUCAUGGUUCGCAGGUAAUCCAAAUCUGGAAGCUCAACAAUUUCUUCCUCUGAGAAGAGAGAAAUAUCAACAUGAGUUCAGUAAGAAUUUGCUAAAAUCAUUCUGAUUUCAAGUCCAAAAAGUAUUAGAAGCCUAAUAUGCAAAAAUACUAACCUUGAAUGUUACUCAUUUCUAUCUAAACCUUUUUGUGAAAUCCAAAUCUGUACAUGACACCAUUUACACUUAAAUCAGAUAAAAAUAACCUGAACACUUCA